GUGGUGUGUAUCUAUCUUCAGGAACUAAUUUGCUCUUUUAUUUUAAUCUGUGAUGUAUUGGAACGAACCUUAGGCCGAGGCAGCAGCCAAGGAGGAAGAGGAGUCUGAGAAGUCAAUGUCCGAGGUGAACGACGAUGAGGAUGAUGAAGAGGGAAGUGCAGAGGUCAGUUGAAUAAUUCUAUAUCUUCUGUAAAUGGAAGUUGUGCAAAGUUUUAGCUGAUACCAAGUUUUGUUUCCUAUCUUUUAUAGGAGGAGGAUGAUGAGGAGUAGGAAUGGACAAGAAAGAGUAGCUUUUUAGCCAUGCAGAGAGAGCCCUGUUUACAAAAACCUCCCCUUUGGAACAUGUCUAAUUGGCUGGAUAUCUUUACUUGUUAAGUUAACCUCUUCUCGAGUUACCCUUUAUCUUCUGAAACAAGGAGGGCAACAAAUCUUCCCCCCUGUGUUAAUCCUCAGGUUGAUAGUUUGUUGUUGUAAAAGGGGGAUAUCGGAGUGUAUCUGUAAUUUCAAUCAAGGUUCUAAUGAUGAUUUCAGCUAAAUGAGCUUUCCUUUGUAGAUUCAUAUCUGUAAAGGUUGACUGUUGUUUUCGAAUGUCACUCUGCCUGUCUGGGAAAAUGGCUUGAAAAUGUCGGCUUGUCGUUUGAAGCGUUGACCUUGGAGUU
rnacentral:lncRNA from 1 species